UGGGGAAUUUUACGCAAUGGGGGAAACCCUGACGUAGCGACACCGCGUGAGCGAAGAAGCCCUUUGGGGUGUAAAGCUCUGCCAGCUGGAACGAAAUCAAUGACGGUACCAGCAGAGGAAGCAUCGGCUAACUACGUGCCAGCAGCCGCGGUAAGACGUAGGAUGCGAGCGUUGUCCGGAUUUAUUGGGCGUAAAGAGUUCGUAGGUGGUUUGUUAAGUCUGAUGUUAAAGACUGAGGCUCAACCUCGGAAAUGCAUUGGAUACUGGCAGACUUGAGUGUAGUAGAGGCAAGCGGAAUUCCAGGUGUAGCGGUGAAAUGCGUAGAUAUCUGGAAGAACACCAGUGGCGUAAGCGGCUUGCUGGGCUAUAACUGACACUGAGGAACGAAAGCCAGGGUAGC
rnacentral:rRNA from 1 species